AAAUUAUCGUAUAAUCCAAAUCCGAACAGCUAAAUCUCGAGCUAGGUAGCAAAAUCAUACACCAUAUGCGUUCAAAUUUGAUUCGAUUCAUUUCAAGAUACCUGUACUCUGCAGCAACAAGCUCACAUGCUACAAUAUGAUCUACACAGUUCGAAUUCAUCAUCAAUUUGUACGUCGAACAUCGCCGCGUCGCCGUUGUCUCCCAGAUGCGACAUGACAUUGAUCAUCCAUAACUUCCUGCCUCAUUUCUAGACUGUAACGAUCUAUCCGAAGUAAAGUUUUCUGUUCUGAUACGUUGGGGAAUCAUUAUCUGCUUCUUGCAAGAGGGGGAAAAUGUGUUGCUCCGAUGAAGGACAUUGAGUAAGUUUUACUUUGCUGAUCGGUAUUGUAAAAUGAUUGAUUUCUUGAUUGGAUGUGGUUGAUAGCGAAUUUGUAUUGCAUGUUUUUUUUUUUUUGGUGAAAAGAACUAGGUUGAGAUUUCUUGAUUGGAUGUAGUUGAAUCUUUUUCGGGCAGCUACCAUACCAGAUGGUAUGGCUGGAAUCUGGAGUGUUUUUGUGAGGGAAAUAUGUUGGAUAAACACUUUGAUAGUGAUGGAAUUCUUGCAGGAGAAGAGAAUUGUGUCUGUCACAACAGUGACAAACUCCUUAUUUGAUGCAGAUCGAUUUGAUUUUCCCCACACAAUUGUGUGGGAGUCUUGCAGAUUUGUAGCGUAAGAAAGAAAGAAAAAGAAAGAAAACUUGUUUGGUUAUGUUGAAUUAGAUAGAAUGUAGGCACACAAAGAGAGACAGUCAUUUACAUUUUACUUCCAAGACGUUGAAACUUAUACUCCGAUUACUAUAAUUUUUUCUGUUUUUUCUUACUAGGGACAAAACUUUUCAUUGCAGAAAUGAAAGAAAUUAAAGCUCAACUCCACAAGAGAGUGAAAGAAAAAGCAAUAAAACAAUGAUAAAAGUUACUAGGAGUAAUAAAAGCAUUUGAAUUGAAACAUAUAUCCUGUAAAGAGAACCUAUCAAAAUGCUCUGAAAGAAAACACCAUAAUAAAGCUUUUAAACAAUUCGAUUCAAAGUGGUCAAUCUGAAAGAGAUGUUUGCUUUAGAAAUUAGAAAUGAAAAACUAAAGUUGGAAAAACUGUGGUGAGAGGUUGAUCUUUUCUCUCCAUCUCUCACGAUGUAUGCAACCUAGAAGUUAGAUCAUUAAAAGGAUCUUCUCUGUAGGGAAUUGGCAGACCACCCGUUGGAUGGAUGAUUCCGAACUCUUCCUCAGACCUUUGUAGUAAGUUAAUAAAUGAAGGGUGGUUCUAGUAAGUAACGGGAACCGCAGAUCUCUGUCUGGAUUUCCACCCAAUAAAAAAAAAAAAAUUGCAACUUGAGCUUUGGGGAUAUUAAACUUAUUUUGGGUAGAAGCACUCGGUGUUUGAGAAUUUGUUUGACGUUGAGAAGAAUUGAUGGCAAACAGAUUCUCAUAUUCAAUUUUGCUUGAAUUGAAAGCAUAAUGAGCAAAUCUAGGUGGUAGCAUGCUUGAUAUUGAUUUGAACUAGGAAACUUCUAUAUACUUGGAUGGGAAUUUCUCUGUGAUUUGAGUUGGGAGAGUGGUUGUUAAUGGGUUUUGAAUUAUAUAUAGAGUGAGAACGAAAUAAUAUCAAAAUGGGAGUCUGCUAAUCCUACUUUAUCUAAGGAUCUCGUGGACUUGCCAAAUUGGUUGGAACAUACUUCUUUUCUCAUUUGGCCUGACUUCUGGUAGCAAAGACCCACUUGUUUGAGUGGAAGAUAAUAGAGUAGAUAACAAGUGGUCUAGGAAAACAGGAAGCCAAAUGCUGUGACCAAGAAAAUAGAUAGACCAAAAAAGAAAACCAUUUGAUGAGAAACUUUUGAUCACUUGUUCCGCAUCACUGGCCCAAUGCAUAGCUAACAAAUUAGACCGCCUCGAAAGUACAUUUUGGGUUGUACAUUAGAUACUCGACUAUGUAUCAUAAAUUUCAUUGGUUCUCAUGUGGGCACUUCCAAUCCUACCUAAUUAACUCUUUCACUAGUAACAACAUCACAACUUUACUGGUUUAUAUCCAUUGAUGCACCACCAAACAGGAAUUUGCGUAUUCUACUACAUGAAAUUAUCUACCCUAAGAAACAAUUAUAUCUUGACCUACAAACACUGUACUCAACCUCAAGUUAUUGAAGCAAGCUUGCACAAUUUUGAUGUUAUCACAUUAUGAGGUUAAUCCAGAACUUGAGACUGGCAAUUUUUUUUUUUAAAAAAAGAAAAACAUUAGCCAUGGAAAUGGACAUUCCGCAUCUUAAUUAAUUGUUGAGAAGAGGUGCUUGAUUCAUACAUAGUUUCUUAUUGUUCUUAAAAGAAUCUCAUUUAAUGUUCAGAUACCCACUCAUUUUAAGCAAACAUUGUAGGUCAGUUUUCUAGUGAACUUCACAUAGGCUUGUUCCAAAUAAAAAAUAAUAAAAAAUAAGAAGGCAUAAUUCCUCAAUCAUGUAUAUUUUUAUCCAUAUAUGUCUAUAAUCUAAUCUCCUUGUAGUUUAGGUUCAUUCAAUUUGUUUUGUGGGACUUCAAAUAGCUGUAUUGAUAUGUUGUGUCAAAGGCUUACCUUCCAAGUUUGGUUUUGUUCAUGUCUUCAGCCGGAUGGUUUAUAUUUUUUAAUCAGAUAAAUCUUCAAUUCAUUUAGACAGAAAAAUUUUGUGCCAUUUAAUGAGUUUUCUCCAUGUUGUAUGUUGGCAUAGCACAAAAUGAGGUGAAUGGUUGAGGUGUCCUAGAUGUCUUAGGCAUGUCUUUAACAAGAGUGAUGACUGUCGCUUCACUCUUGUUGUGACAAUGGCUUACCUUCCAAGAUUAGUUUUGUUCUUGUCUUCAGCCAAAUGGUUUUGAUUUUUUAAUCAGAUAAAUCUUCAAUUCAUUUAGACAGAAAAGAUUAUGCCAUUUAAUGAGUGUGCUCCUUGUUCUAUGUUGGCAUAGCACAAAAUGAGGGGAAUGGUUGAGAUGUCUUAGAUGUCUUAGGCAUGUCCCUAACAAGAGUGAUGGCUAUUGCUUAAGAUAUGUGAUUAACAUAAUAAACGAACUAUCACUAAGCCACAAUUUUCUACGCAAAUGGGUCCUCCAUGGGUUUUCGGUGACUUUGAUAUCUCAAUAUUAGUUCCCAAGUAGCUGAAGAUUAUUACCUAGACAGGAUCAUGCAAUACAGUAGACUUCACAAACACUUGCCUCCAAGUGGGCCCCAUUCAAACAUAUAGUCACUCAUUUCUUAAAGCAAGCUAUUACCCACAUCACCCUUUUUCAACUUACAUACAUGAUUCAUUCAAACAUAUAGUCACUCAUUUCUUAAAGCAAGCUAUUACCCACAUCACCCUUUUUCAACUUACAUACAUGAUUUUGAAUCCCCAUGCAACUCGCAUCUCAAACUUUCAUCCAGUCACCAAGCUUUCUCUCUAGCUGUUGUGCAACUUCAAGGUUUUUUUCAAUUAAAUAUUAUUUGAAUUCCUCUUGUGAAGAACAAACCUGUGAGUUUUCAUUUGGCGAAAUUGUAAUAUUGUGCAAAGUCUUAGACUUUCUCCUCUAACAACAAACCACGGAUCUUCAAUAGUCUGCAAAGAUUCUUGUGCAGCUUACAUCGGAAAAAGCCAAGGGAGCAGUUUGUGAUUCCAGUAGCUUACUGUAAUCAACCAUUUUUCGGGGACUUACUAAGUCGAGCCAAAGAAGAAUUUGGCUACAGUCACCCUAUGGGAUGCUUCACUAUUCCCUACAUCGAUGGUUCAUCAUUUGUGGGACUCCAAUAGCUGUACUGGUGUAUCACAAAGGCCUUAGCUGCCAUGUUCGGUUUUGUUCUAUUUUCAGCCAGAUACCUUAGAUUUUUUUUUUUAAAAAAGUUAGAUUUAUAUUCAAUACAUAUAGACAGAAAUAAUCUAUGCCAUUAAAUGGGUCUCCUGUUGUAUGUUGACAAGGAAAAAAAAUAGGGGAAAUGGUUUUCAUGUUUCAGGCAUAUCUCUAACAAAAGUGAUGAACUUGCUUAUGCCAUGUGCUUAGCAUAACUAACAAGUUUUUACUUUGGCCACAAUUUUCAGCUAAAAUUGGUCCUUUACUGGCUGAUUUUCCCAAGUUUGGUAACUUUGUUUACCCAAUAUUAUUUCCUGAGUUCCUGAAGAUAAUGGGAGACAGGACCAUGUGAUACAGUAUACUUCACAAGUACUUGCCUUCUGGUUGGUCCCAUUCAGAGAUUUCUCACCACUCAUUUCUUAGAGCAAACUAUUGCCCACGUCACCAUUUUUCUUCUAUAUAUAUACUUGUUUUUAAGACCCAAGCAACUCAGAUCUCAAACUUUCAACCACCCACAAAGUUUUCUCAUUCUCUCAAUUGCUAUUGGGAAACUUCAAGUUUCUUCAAUUCUAAAUUCUCUUACUUUCUGUUCUGAAUAAUAAAACCAUGGGCUUUCGUCUGGAAAAAAUUGUAAAUGCUGUGCAAAAUCUAGGACUUUCUUCUCUAGCAACAGACCAAGGAUUGUCUGUAGUCCGCAAAGGCUAUUGUGCAGUUUAUGUAGGAGAGAGCCAAAGGCGGUUUGUGAUUCCAAUAGCAUACUUGAAUCAGCCAUUUUUCAAGGACUUGCUCAGUGAAGCUGAAGAAGAAUUUGGUUACAAUCACCCUAUGGGAGGUCUCACCAUUCCCUGCAGUGAUGAUAAAUUCAUUGAUCUCCUCUCUCAUUUGAAUUAGGCGUGAACGAGAAUAUUAGUUAGGCUAGAUUAGAUAGUACCAUUCUUAUAUACAUUUUUUUGAGGGAGAGAUAAAAUGCCUUCCCGACUGAUGUGUACUGGAUUACAUAUACAAGUUUUAGAAAAUGAAGUUAUUUCAUUCAAGUUCUUCUCUUUA